GAUUGGAGUCUGCAACCCGACUCCAUGAAGCUGGAUUCGCUAGUAAUCGCGCAUCAGCCACGGCGCGGUGAAUACGUUCCCGGGCCUUGUACACACCGCCCGUCAAGCCAUGGGAGGCCGGGGGGUGCCUGAAGGCCGUGACCGCGAGGGUCGGCCUAGGGUGAAACCGGUGAUUGGGGCUAAGUCGUAACAAGGUAUC
rnacentral:rRNA from 1 species